rnacentral:tRNA from 1 species
GCCGAAGUGGCGGAAUUGGAAGACGCGCUGGAUUCAGGGUCCAGUGGCCUUCGGGCCGUAGGGGUUCGACUCCCCUCUUCGGCA